GAUAUGAGCAGAAGUAAAAAAAGAAACAAAAGAGAGAAAGAAAAUAGGGGAGGUCACUAAUUAAUACAUAUUUCAUGAUAUCCUGCUUUCAUUCAUUGGUGUUCAAGAACUU
rnacentral:ribozyme from 1 species